AGGAUAGUCUGCGCAUGCGCAUGGUUGAGGCGGUUGUCAGAAGCGGUGUUGGUUUCCCGGGGUCAGUGGGAAGUUGUUAGCGGCUGUCACUGGCUUGGAAGGUAAAGUUUAUCAUGGCGAGGGAUAGCGAGUCACUCCCGCCUCCUUUACACCCCCCCCCCCCCCUCAGAAAAAUACACCCUGUAGCUCAUAUUGGCUUUGAGUGUGCAUGUCUGUGAAGCAAUGGAGACGAUCACCGUGAACCGAAACAGGCUUAUCAAAACUUUUGUGAAGACUUCAUGAGUGACGGGGCUCGAUUUUCAUGGCGUUGCUCCAGCGAGUUGUAACCAUGUACAAGGGAGUCGAGUGUUAUGGAGGCAGGUGGGUCACCUGACGUUUGGAACUACAAGUUUGCAAGCUUUUGGAUAUUUCUAAAGUAGAUUACUACAGACAUGCCUAGGCAACAUCCUUCUAGAACGUCACAUUUGCCGUUCUCAGGACUUGUCCCAAAGCAACAAUGACAACAAACUCUCUGACUUUGACUCCAGAUCUGCUGCAUCGCAAAGGAGGGCUAAUGAAAGUGAUAUUGCACAAGGAAAUCCUAAGGACCUUGACUUGUCUGUGUUGUAUGUCGAUGCUUUUAACCACAAGAGGUUAAAAUGAACAAACUAUCAAUGGUAUUCCAUUGUAUUUCAAUGGCCAGCCAUCAAAUUGCCAAAACAUUGUUUUUUGAAAGUAUUUUAUUGUAAAUUUCUGCUUGCUUUGUGGCAAGUGGCAGAAAUAACAACAGGAAAAGCAUCACUGUAGAAAAUUGGCUAUCACAUCUUGAAUUUACCAAGCAAUAGAGCUUAAACAUUAAAGCCUCCUCAAAACUCGUUACAAAAGAUUCCACGUUUGCCUGGAAAGGAAAAAUGGUCUUUGGGCAACAAGAAUUAACUGUACCUACAUCACAUGCUGUAUAUCUCUUAUUUUAAGAAAAACUGUAAAGGAUCCUGUUUUCCUAGCUAGAUGCGACUUAAACUCCAGAAAACCUCCCCAGCGUCACUGACUACAAUCACAUGAAAUUUUAACCCUAGUGUUUGGUCUUUACAUUUUGUGGAAUUGAAACCUCUUUCUUUUAUUGUAUCUUUCCUGAAUGUACAUGGUAUGUGUGAAGUAGCAAUAAACCUUUCCAGGAAAA